rnacentral:rRNA from 1 species
GUGGGGAAUAUUGGUCAAUGGGGGAAACCCUGAACCAGCAACGCCGCGUGAAGGAAGAAGGCUUUCGGGUUGUAAACUUCUUUGACAGGGGACGAAACAAAUGACGGUACCCUGAAAACAAGCCACGGCUAACUACGUGCCAGCAGCCGCGGUAAUACGUAAGUGGCAAGCGUUGUCCGGAUUUACUGGGUGUAAAGGGCGUGUAGGCGGGACGGUAAGUCAGAUGUGAAAUGUAGGGGCUCAACCCAUGAACUGCAUUUGAAACUAUCGUUCUUGAGUGAUGGAGAGGCAGGCGGAAUGCCGUGUGUAGCGGUGAAAUGCGUAGAUAUACGGAGGAACACCAGUGGCGAAGGCGGCCUGCUGGACAUUAACUGACGCUGAGGCGCGAAAGCGUGGGGAGCAAACAGGAUUAGAAACCCGUGUAGUCC